UACGGAGGGUGCAAGCGUUAUCCGGAUUUACUGGGUUUAAAGGGUGCGUAGGUGGGUCUGUAAGUCAGUGGUGAAAUCUCUGAGCUUAACUCAGAAACUGCCAUGGAUACUAUUUGUCUUGAAUAUUGUGGAGGUAAGCGGAAUAUGUCAUGUAGCGGUGAAAUGCUUAGAUAUGACAUAGAACACCAAUUGCGAAGGCAGCUUACUACACAGUUAUUGACGCUGAGGCACGAAAGCGUGGGGAUCAAACAGG
rnacentral:rRNA from 1 species